AAGUUAAAUGAAAAAUGGAUUGUGGAUUAUAGCCUGAGCAGAUUUGAGCCUAAAUGUAAUAUAACAGCUUGUGGCAAAUGGAGGUAGCAGGAGAGUAGAGCCAACUAGCCAAAAAUCCCCUGGAAAGGUGAAACUGAAAUCACUCAUUCAUUCAAAAAGUGUUUACUGAGUAGCUUCAAAGAGCAAAUAUUAGGUUAGAUGCAGUGGGUGAUGUAAGGAUGAUUCAGACAACUAUUUCUCAUGGACUUUGCUUACUGAGCCAUCAACACACGGCCACCUUUUUCUAGAUGAAGUAUCCCAUCAUUUGAUUCUGGAUUGAGAACUCUUUGAGAGCAGAGACGAUGGCUUCACCUGAGUAUCCCCAGAGCCUGACGUUAGACAAAAAUCAACUUUCACUGAAGAUUUUUUUUUUUAAUAUGUAGAAGAAGCUCACAUACUUCAGGAAAACCGCAUGAAAAGUACCCAAGAAAUUCAGUGUCCAGAUGUUUCAGAAUCCAGAUGGCCUAAGAAUCCUCUAUCACCCAGAAAGGAGGAAAAUGUGCAUGAAAGUGGAACAUUUAAAAGAAAAAAAUAAUUUAGCUUUGGCUAUGUAAUGACAACAUACAGAGCUUGAGAAAAAGCUUCUUUUCCUAAAGCAGCAACUUAAUAAAAGGCAUGUUAUAGGCUUUAUCAGUAAGCCAAAAUUUCAGCCUUGCCUCUUCUUCCCAUCACCAUUAAGAGGCUUGCAGAGGUCCACACUCUUUAAAGGGCAGACAGCAUGGAAGAACUAUCAUGUACAAUUUGAAGUAGCAGCUAAAAUUGGAAUGGUCACGAGAAAGCCUGUUUCUUUGCAAUUAAAUUGACAAGCUGUCUAUGAUUACCCUAGGGAACUUGGCAGCUGAGUGAUAAAAAGACUGCAGUGUGUUGAAAGGUCUAACGCAACUUACUAGGUGGACAAAGACCACAUCUGCUUAACAUACUGAUUGGGAGAGUUGUGGAAUGUACUUGGCUACAUUAGCUGAGGAGAGAUACUAAGGAUACUUUUUCCUCUCUAAGACCCUGUGCUUAGAACCUGUUGUAGAAACUACCCACAAAUAUUUGGAAGCAUGUAUGAAAAACAGUUUAGCACAAUAUCUGAUGUUAUUCAGCAUGAACCUACCAUUACAAAUCACCAGAAUUGAGCAGAAGUUUAGAAAGAAAUAAUAAUUAAA
rnacentral:lncRNA from 1 species